rnacentral:rRNA from 1 species
AGACGGAGGGCGCGAGCGUUGUUCGGAAUCACUGGGCGUAAAGCGCGCGCAGGCGGGUGGGGAAGUCGGAAGUGAAAGGCCGGGGCUCAACCCCGGAGGCGCUUCCGAUACUCUCUGUCUAGGGACCGGUAGAGGCCGGUGGAACUCCCGGUGUAGCGGUGGAAUGCGUAGAUAUCGGGAAGAACACCAGUGGCGAAGGCGGCCGGCUGGGCCGGAGAUUCUUUAAUGAAUCGAUCCGACGCUGAGGCGCGAAAGCGUGGGGAGCAAACAGGAUUAGAUACCCUGGUAGUCCACGCCGUAAACGAUGGGCGCUAGGUGGCGGGGAGAGCGACCCCCUCGGUGCCGCAGCUAACGCGAUAAGCGCCCCGCCUGGGGAGUACGGCCGCAAGGCUGAA